AGUGAACGCUGGCGGUAGGCCUAACGCAUGCAAGUCGAACGGCAGCACAGUAAGAGCUUGCUCUUACGGGUGGCGAGUGGCGGACGGGUGAGGAAUACAUCGGAAUCUACUUUUUCGUGGGGGAUAACGUAGGGAAACUUACGCUAAUACCGCAUACGACCUACGGGUGAAGGCAGGGGAUCUUCGGACCUUGCGCGAUUGAAUGAGCCGAUGUCGGAUUAGCUAGUUGGCGGGGUAAAGGCCCACCAAGGCGACGAUCCGUAGCUGGUCUGAGAGGAUGAUCAGCCACACUGGAACUGAGACACGGUCCAGACUCCUACGGGAGGCAGCAGUGGGGAAUAUUGGACAAUGGGCGCAAGCCUGAUCCAGCCAUACCGCGUGGGUGAAGAAGGCCUUCGGGUUGUAAAGCCCUUUUGUUGGGAAAGAAAAGCAGCAGGUUAAUACCCCGCUGUUCUGACGGUACCCAAAGAAUAAGCACCGGCUAACUUCGUG
rnacentral:rRNA from 1 species